rnacentral:rRNA from 1 species
GAUGAACGCUGGCGGCGUGCUUAACACAUGCAAGUCGAACGAAGCAUUUGCGACAGAUUUUUUCGGAAUGAAGUUGCUUAUGACUGAGUGGCGGACGGGUGAGUAACGCGUGGGUAACCUGCCUUGUACUGGGGGAUAGCAGCUGGAAACGGCUGGUAAUACCGCAUAAGCGCACAAUGCUGCAUGACAUGGUGUGAAAAACUCCGGUGGUAUAAGAUGGACCCGCGUCUGAUUAGCUAGUUGGUGAGAUAACAGCCCACCAAGGCGACGAUCAGUAGCCGACCUGAGAGGGUGACCGGACACAUUGGGACUGAGACACGGCCCAGACUCCUACGGGAGGCAGCAGUGGGGAAUAUUGCACAAUGGAGGAAACUCUGAUGCAGCGACGCCGCGUGAGUGAAGAAGUAAUUCGUUAUGUAAAGCUCUAUCAGCAGGGAAGAUAGUGACGGUACCUGACUAAGAAGCUCCGGCUAAAUACGUG